GACGAACGCUGGCGGCGUGCCUAACACAUGCAAGUCGAACGGAACUGUUUUGACAGAUUUCUUCGGAAUGCAUUUGAUUUAGUUUAGUGGCGGACGGGUGAGUAACGCGUGAGUAACCUGCCUUCAAGAGGGGAAUAACAUUCUGAAAAGAAUGCUAAUACCGCAUGACAUAUCGGAACCACAUGGUUUUGAUAUCAAAGAUUUUAUCGCUUGAAGAUGGACUCGCGUCCGAUUAGUUAGUUGGUGAGGUAACGGCGCACCAAGACCGCGAUCGGUAGCCGGAAUGAGAGGUUGAACGGCCACAUUGGGACUGAGACACGGCCCAGACUCCUACGGGAGGGAGCAGUGGGGGAUAUUGCGCAAUGGGGGCAACCCUGACGCAGCAACGCCGCGUGAAGGAGGAAGGUUUUCGGAUUGUAAACUUCUUUUAUUAAGGACGAAAAAUGACGGUACUUAAUGAAUAAGCUCCGGCUAACUACGUG
rnacentral:rRNA from 1 species